rnacentral:rRNA from 1 species
AAAUUUUAAUGUAAACUUAAAUGCUAAUCUGCAGAGGUACAGCUCCGCAGAAUAAGAGUACAACCUUAAUUAGAGAGUAUACCUAUAUACCAACCAUAGUUGGCCUAAAAGCAGCCAUCAAUUAAGAAAGCGUUCAAGCUCAACAAUUAAACUUACACUUAAUUCAAAAAAUUACAUAAACUCCUAAUUUAAUCACUGGAUUAUUCUACUUACCCGUAGAAGAAAUACUGUUAAUAUGAGUAACAAGAUUUAUAUCUCCAAACACACCUGUAUGUCAGCCCGAAUCCUAACUGAUAGUUAACAAUUAGAUAAAUCUAUAUAUUGAAUUAAUAAUUUUCCAUUACAUUGUUAACCCAACACUGGAGUGUACUCAAGGAAAGAUUAAAAAAAGUAAAAGGAACUCGGCAAACAUAAACCCCGCCUGUUUACCAAAAACAUCACCUCUAGCAUUACCAGUAUUAGAGGCACUGCCUGCCCAGUGACAUUAGUUAAACGGCCGCGGUAUCCUGACCGUGCAAAGGUAGCAUAAUCAUUUGUUCCUUAAUUAGGGACUUGUAUGAAUGGCCCCACGAGGGUUUGACUGUCUCUUACUUUUAAUCAGUGAAAUUGACCUUCCCGUGAAGAGGCGGGAAUACAAAAAUAAGACGAGAAGACCCUAUGGAGCUUAAAUUAACACGCUCAACAAAAUUCAAUUUAACCCAACAGGAAUAAUGACAUUUUAACUGAGCAAUAAAUUUUGGUUGGGGUGACCUCGGAGUAUAACAAACCCUCCGAGAAAUUUAACCAAGACUUACUAGUCAAGGUCACAUAACUCAUUGAUCCAAUCACAUUGAUCAACGAAACAAGUUACCCUAGGGAUAACAGCGCAAUCCUAUUUGAGAGUCCGUAUCGACAAUAGGGUUUACGACCUCGAUGUUGGAUCAGGACACCCAAAUGGUGCAGCAGCUAUUAAAGGUUCGUUU